rnacentral:rRNA from 1 species
AUAAGUGCAUAUGGUGGAUGCCUUGGCGAUUACAGGCGAUGAAGGACGUGAUAAUCUGCGAAAAGCUUCGGGGAGCUGAUAAAUAAGCUUUGAUCCGGAGAUGUCCGAAUGGGGAAACCCACCCGCAAGGGUAACCGCUCCUGAAUAUAUAGGGAGAUGGUGGCAAACCGAGUGAACUGAAACAUCUAAGUAGCUCGAGGAAAAUAAAUCAACCGAGAUUCCGUAAGUAGUGGCGAGCGAACGCGGAACAGCCUGUUAUUUUUAGCACAUGCGAUAGUAGAACGGAAUGGAAAGUCCGGCCAUAGAGGGUGAUAGCCCCUUAUACGAAAUCCCGUGUGUGGAACUAGGAUAACGACAAGUAGGGCGGGGCACGAGAAACCUUGUCUGAACAUGGGGGGACCAUCCUCCAAGGCU